AUUGAACGCUGGCGGCAAGCCUAACACAUGCAAGUCGAACGAGUGGCGGACGGGUGAGUAAUGUCUGGGAAACUGCCUGAUGGAGGGGGAUAACUACUGGAAACGGUAGCUAAUACCGCAUACCAUCGGAUGUGCCCAGAUGGGAUUGGCUAGUAGGUGGGGUAAAGGCUCACCUAGGCGACGAUCCCUAGCUGGUCUGAGAGGAUGACCAGAAAAACUGGAACGGAGACACGGUCCAGACGCGUACGGGAGGCAGAAGUGGGGAAGAGUGGACAAGGGGGGCAAGCAUGAUGCAGCCAUGCCGCGUGUAUGAAGAAGGCCUUAGGGUUGUAAAGUACUUUCAGCGGGGAGGCGUUACCCGCAGAAGAAGCACCGGCUAACUCCGUGCCAGCAGCCGCGGUAAUUC
rnacentral:rRNA from 1 species